GUAUCAGACUCCAGACAUUUAAUUAUUUGAUUAUAGUGACUUAGUAAAAAAAACCCAUUCACACAGAACAGAGAUUUCUUUGUUUUUUUCUCUUUAGUUUCUCGUUUGUCUAAUCUAUCCACUCCCACGGGUGAAGACCGUUCCUCGAGGCGUGGUUGGAAAUUUUUGAAAAUUAGAAACAGAUUUCUUCAGAUCACAUUGACACAAGAAGGGAGGCUGUGUGGAUUUUUCCACCUGCAUUAAUUUUCAAUCUUCCCAUGCCGAAAGGGAGUGAGUGCCACUGUACAGUGUACAAUGAACAUAUAUAAUUCUGUGCACCUUUACCAGUCCGAUGUUGCAUCACUUAGCUCAAGUACUACAAAAAUGGUGAACUUUGUUCAUCAAUGGUGUGAACCAGCAAUCCGUUCACACAAGUUCAAUCCUUUUAAGGAGAAUGUGAUGUCCUCCAUACCUGAUAAAGUUAACUAAGUGUCAGCCACACCUAACCAUGUGAACUGCACGAUACAGUGUUAUGUCCAAAGUAGCAACAAAUCCAAUCUCCAAUCUACAUGGGGAUCAAUAUGGGUCACAGUUCCACAUCUGCCAACCGGAUAUCGCUGCUGAAAGAAAAUGAGUUUACUGUCAGUAAGAAGCCGCUGAUAUUUUUCCAUUUAAUUGCUUUCUAUUGGCGCCUCGAGUCGACCCGAGUCAUCACCAGACGAACAACAGUUUGCCUCCCGUUGAAAAGAACCCAGUCUUAUCAGAACUAAAAGCUCUAUUUUGUUUCUUCGCCUCACCCAUGGCUUACACGAUUAGCUCGACGUUGUUUUUCUCCGGUUCGACAACCAUUGGAGGAGGUGUGUGGAAUGCAAUCUCAUGACCUCAGCAGCUCAGCGAAUGAACAGGACACGAUGUCGGAUGUCUUUCGGCAGGUUCAAGAUUUGUUGAUUGUAUUGGACGAGGUCGGCUUGAAGAUGGUUGUGCAAAUGGGCGUGGCUUUCAAGUUCCCUCUGAUUGGAGUCGCGAUCUCGAAUUACGCGCCAUGAUUAGGAUCCAACUCUUCCUUGUCGAAUUCCCAAGGGUUUCGCUCUUUUGGACGACGGUGCCCUUCGACCGUGCAAGGAUCAAAACAAACUCACGUUCAAACCUUCGCAUAAUAGAGUUACGACCGACAUGGACCCAAAUAUUGGUUCAGUUUCCAGAAAGAAAUUGAAUAUGGUGAUUGGUGUGAAGCAACUUAUGUCGUGGAGUAUCGUAAGACGUGGUACUUCUCGAGCAGCUCCAUCAAUUCCAACAGUUGAUUGCAGCUUUGGCCACGACGAAAUUUGAAAAAUCCCUUUUGUCAAAAGCAAAAUACAAACUUGAGCCAAGAUAUUGAGGCAGGACGCUCCCACAACAUAGUUGACAAAAGAACUGAAGCAACAGCAAAUUCUAUCUGGAAUUUUGCUAGAGAUGUCUACAGACGGUAAAAAAACGUUGAGGAAGAAGAAGAAACCUAACUUAAAGUAGAGCUUGAAUAACCAUCUACACCAAAAGCCAACAGAACUUAUUUUCUACGGUCCCCAAGACGGCAUUAUUAUGUCGUGCCCUUGCUGACGACUUAUGGUUCCGGUGGAGUCAUCAUGAAGGAAAGCAGUGGUAUCCUUUUCCAAAUCAAAAUCUCCUUCCUCAACCGCCAUCAUUUUCAAGUUCAGCAUUGGAGGCCAUUCCUCAAACCAGACCCAAAUUUGUCUUUAGGGUCAAUCGAGUUCAACCGUAUCAAAAAGUAGAGGCACACGAAAGACUUUUGAAUCUUGUGGUAAACCGAAAUCUAUGAACAUGAAGGAACUCAAAGCGUGUACUACGUGCUACCCUAACCCAUCGACUGAAGAACACCAACAGGUGUUUAUCGUCUAGCAUUUUCUGGCGGAAACAAGUUGACAUAGUUGGUGAUUUCGCAGCAGUUAGGACAACUGGGAUUUUUAUGGGCUGGCGUAUUCUUAUCACCGAAGAUGGAAAAGCAUGUUUUAGGUUGUUAACUUGAUGGUCAAUGUCUUCUGGAACUCUGAGAUGAAGAUUUUGCGCCCGCCCCACCUGCCCAGCUCCUGGUGAAGCCCGACCAGCCCCAACUCAAGCACAGGCCCAAGCACAACCUGCUGCUGCCAACAACGGAACGAGAAUCAAAACUAUUUUUGUAAAAAAGUGGAACACUCGAUGGACAGAAAACAAGUCAAAUUGUUAUACUGGAACAACACUGCAGUGGAAAACUUCAACUUAGCUCAGUCAAUAGGCAACAGGUUCUUAUCCGGUCUGUUGGAAGUCCCGCAUCCGCUGGAUCAGUUACCGCAGUCGAAUCGGACGAUGCACCAACCGUAUUUAUUGGCUAUCUUUUGCCGUCAGUCGUAAGAUGACCUACAAUUUUACAUCGGGUGGAUGCCGUGAAGAUUUCGCAGGCACAAGGCUUCCCUCAUGAACGGACGACCACAUCAGACCACAUCCGGCAAAUCGACUGCGUCCGUCCACUCUCAACGUGAUCUCCCUCAAAUUAAUACUUUGUGCAGUUGCAUACGUUCGUCAGUCGUGUCGUGGAAUCGUGACGCGGCAUUUCGAUCAAAGACGACUCUUAGUUUAGUGCAAGUGCCGAGUUAAUUUGCGAAUCUGCAGUAGAAGCGGUUAUGUUAACAUAUGUCAACAGUUCAGGAGACAUUUCUAUUAUUUUGCUAUUCACAAAGAUACAUGGAAUGCAACCGGAUAAAAAUGUGUUCCUACACUGGAUAAGAGGCAUAUUUAUUAAUAUAGUUCAGGCUGGCAACGAUUAUAUAUUCAAUUGGAUCUCAUCAGCAUGACACCUCAGGGAAAUUCAAGUUAGGUUAAUUCCAUCAAAGAAACCUAGAUGACCUGAGAUGAUUCAUUAAAUUUGAAACUGUAUCGAAUGGGCUGUACAAGGUUCAAAGACAGUUGAGAAUGAAUGUUGCUUGGAGUAAUGGACAAAUGGAGUUGAGCAACAACACUCGCCGGCCACAACAUUCGCCGGCAGAGCGACCAGGAAUCAAAAGUGGCAGCUUGUGAGUGUGAAUGUCUUCACUAGGGCGUCCUUCCCGUUUUUCACACCUGAUGUCAACUUUUAGUUUCUCUGUGGAAGGAGCUUCAGAAGACGCCCGGCGGUAUUUCUCAGGCUUCAAGGAUCAAGUACUGACGCCGAUUAUCACUUCCAGGUUUGGAGUUUGGAGCUUUAGCUGUUUGUUGUGCGUUGGUUGUUUCUUGGUGACGACGGGAUGAUCAUAAUUUGAUUAUUGCAGCCUGAAACUGCUGUACAUUUUGCAUAAAGGUCGUCUCUUUCUACCUGAACACCUGCUGCACACUUCAGAACAAUAAAGAUUAACAGUCAGAUGAAGUCUGAGCUUCUUCAUUGCAGUCUUUGGUGCAGUGUUACCUGAAGUGCAAAAGAGCUCUUUGAUUGAUUCAAGUCUUAUGGUAUUGAUCAUGUUUGAAGCGAUGCUGGACCCAAAUGAUGUAGAAGUAAAAGAGCCUGACAAAUGCAGACAAGGAAAAGGAUAUUGUAAAUGUGGGAAUUUUAAAAUCUCUUGCCACCAGGUGGUGAACUGGUGAUCGACAAUUAAAAGGAGCCACAACCCACAAUGCAGAGUAGGAUGACCAGAUGAUGAAGCUGUUCAACCUUUUAUUUGCUUGAAAGACGUUGAACGUCGUACGUAACGGUCGUACGUACGACCGUGCGAGAUAAUUGUGCACGUACGUUGGUACGUACCUACAUUACGACUAAUCAGUCUGAAAAUGAUUGUCAUUUUCUGCAAAGGUGAAUCUUGUCUUUUGAAAAGACAACACAAUCUUGUCUUUAUUAACAUUGAUCUUCAGGAAGGUAUCAUUAGUUUUACUAAGGUAAUAAUGUUUGUUAAAUCAGUCUAUUUCUUAAACAGAUUCCAUUAAUUGUUUGGGUUAUUAAAUCACUUAACUGCUCUUGAUUCAGUAAAGUUAUAAUUCCACAGAUGUUUUACAAAAUUUUGGCAAAAGAUCUGUCAACCAGGUUAAGUUGAAGCUGUUUGCUGUGUUAUGCAGAACAUUUUUACUUGCCACCUUGCUGCUUGCUUACUGCAUAAAAUGGGAAGUUGCCAUUUUUGCACAUUUACAACAGCUUUUUUAGUAGUUUUUGCUUUAUAUCUGAUUUGUUUUAUAGGUUUCCCACUAUUUGUUGAUGUUUGAGGUAUGACUGAAAAUGCCGGUGGUGUUGCAGUCCAAUGUGCUGAUGCUUGCCUGGGUUACGUUGGAUUAGGCAAAAAUUUAUUGAGGGAUGACCUGUUCCCUGGUAUAAGGAGUACUUAAACAUAAUUAAAUUUACGAUGCCGGCCAUGUUUUCACUUUUGUUACUCAUCAUAGGUGAGCAAAAUGUUUGCAAAAUGUAUUAACCAGUUUCUUCUCUUUUAGACUGAAAAAGAUUUCAAAUAAACAAAUUAUUCAUA